rnacentral:rRNA from 1 species
AGAGUUUGAUCCUGGCUCAGAACGAACGUUGGCGGCGUGGAUUAGGCAUGCAAGUCGGGGGAAUCCCAGCAAUGGGGGAACCGGCGUAAGGGGCAGUAAUGUGUGGGUACCUACCUUUGGGUUCGGGAUAGCCAUCAGAGAUGGUGGGUAAUACCGGAUGACGUCGUGAGACCAAAGAUUUAUCGCCCGAAGAGGGGCCCACAUGAUAUUAGCUAGUUGGUGAGGUAACGGCUCACCAAGGCUAAGAUGUCUAGCGGGUGUGAGAGCACGACCCGCGCCACUCGCACUGAGACACUGGCGAGACACCUACGGGUGGCUGCAGUCGAGGAUCUUCGGCAAUGAGCGCAAGCUUGACCGAGCGACGCCGCGUGAGCGAUGAAGGCCUUCGGGUUGUAAAGCUCUUUAGUGGGGGAGAAAAGCCCGCAAGGGUGUGAUCUAUCCCAAAAAUAAGCACGGGCUAAGUUCGUGCCAGCAGCCGCGGUAAGACGAACCGUGCGAACGUUGUUCGGAAUCACUGGGCUUAAAGGGAGCGUAGGCGGGCUAUCAAGUCUGGGGUGAAAUCCCACGGCUCAACCGUGGAACUGCCUUAGAUACUGACGGCCUCGAGGGAGAUAGGGGCAUGCGGAACUGUAGGUGGAGCGGUGAAAUGCGUUGAUAUCUACAGGAACUCCGGUGGCGAAAGCGGCGUGCUGGAUCUCUUCUGACGCUGAGGCUCGAAAGCUAGGGGAGCAAACGGGAUUAGAUACCCUAGUAGUCC